GACGAACGCUGGCGGCGCGCCUAACACAUGCAAGUCGAACGGGACUAUCUCGGAAGAAGUUUUCGGAUGGAUUUUGGGAUAGUUUAGUGGCGGACGGGUGAGUAACACGUGAGCAACCUGCCUUCGAGAGGGGAAUAACGGCUGGAAACGGUCGCUAAUACCGCAUAACGUACGGAUGGGACAUCCUGUCUGUACCAAAGAUUUAUCGCUCGAAGAUGGGCUCGCGUCCGAUUAGGUAGUUGGUGAGGUAACGGCCCACCAAGCCGACGAUCGGUAGCCGGACUGAGAGGUUGAACGGCCACAUUGGGACUGAGACACGGCCCAG
rnacentral:rRNA from 1 species